GACAGAGGUGCCGAGCGUUAGGCGGAAUCACUGGGCUUAAAGCGCGUGUAGGCGGACGUCUAAGUGCCUUGUGAAAUCCCACGGCUCAACCGUGGAACGGCUGGGCAUACUGGGCGUCUUGAGCCACCUAGGGGCGAGCGGAACAAACGGUGGAGCGGUGAAAUGCGUAGAUAUCGGAAGGAACGCCGGUGGCGAAAGCGGUCCGCUGGCCCUCUACUGACGCUGAGGCGCGAAAGCCAGGGGAGCAAACGGG
rnacentral:rRNA from 1 species